UACAGAUGAAGAAAGUGAGGUCCAGAGAGAAUGACUUUCUCAAGGUUGCCCAGCUGGAUAGUUCCAGAAUCAUUGUGUGGAGAGGAGAAAACUGAGGUGUAAAGGAGAAGAGUGAUAUGUCUGCAGAAAUCAAGAUAAGCAGUGGAUUAGAGACAUGAAACCAAGUCUUCCAACUCUAAAUUUAGUUUCAGUUUAGUUUUGUUAUUUACUUUGUUGUAUCCCUGAUUUCAACUAUAUAAAGAAUUUCUUUAAUA